CACGACCUGAGCCAAAGGCAGAUGCUCAACUGACUGAGCCACCCAGGCACCCCCAUGAAGUUCUGGAAGGUGGACAGUCCAAGGACAAGGUGCCAGCUGAUUCAGCUUCUGAGAAACCUCUGUCCUGAGCUUCCAGUCAAUUCAUCCAACUUAAGGAAUGAGAACCAGGCCUCCUAGAAAGAAGACAGAACUCAGAAUCAGACAUACCAAGGUGUAAAUUCUGGCUCGAUCACUUACCAGCUAUAUGGCCUCAGGGGAUUCACUCAACAUUUCAUGUUCCUGAGCUUUCGAUGCCUUAAUUGCAGAAUGAGAUUGUCCAUGCUCUUGCAUACAUCACCACACUCCACACAACAAAUAGUCCCAUAUUGUAGGUGCUGUUGUUUGCCAAUGGCUUAUCAAAUAAUAAAGGAAAUUUCAUGCUCUUUGUUCCUUUUA